rnacentral:lncRNA from 1 species
AUGGGCACUAAGGAGGCAGAGCAGCUGGGAGGCUGCUUGCCAAAGGCCACUAAGCCGGUAGCAGAUAGGAGGAUUUCACCCGAUGCAAAGCGCAUCUUCUGUGGAGCAGUUGCGGAUCUAACAGGUACCCGGAAUCACAGCAGGGAUUCAGGCGAGUGGAAACCCCGAAGCGCGUUAUCGCUCCUGGGCUGUUGGACAGCCCUGACCUCCCGCAGGCCGGGAGGCGCAGCCCUUCGACGCGACCCUGCCCGCGGCUGCAGCAUCGCCGCGCGGCCGCACCGGCUCCGGCGAGGCGGCAGCAGCGGCAGCGGCUCCCCGGCUUCAGCAUCUCGCUGCCGUCAAACGGUGCCUCGGCAGUACGGGGGCCUCGGGACACGGGCCCUCGAUCCAACUGCAAGUCGGACAGGCUCCGGCUCCCAAAGCACUGGUGAAGAUUUGGUCCCCCGGGAUCCUGCAGUCUACUUGGGAAGGGGCAGCGGGAAACCCAGCGCGAGGAGCCCUCCGGCCCGGGGGCGAGGAGAGGACUUGCCAGCCGGGCUUUCCGCAAAGGCAAAGGGGGAACCGUUGCGGAAACGGCAGGUGACAGCCCCGGCAGCAGCCGAGGCCUCCUGCCCGCGCGGCACCGGCCCCAGCACCCCCUCUCCGGCCACGCUCCCUCCUUCCUGCCCUCGCGCACCUCCGCUUUCCUGCCUUUCCCAGCACGCCCUCCAGAUUUCCGAGCAAGCCGCGUCCUUCCUGCCCUGCCCCGGCGCCCCGGCCACCCGGCAUGCCCCAUCCGCCCGCGCGGCCGCCUGCUUCUCCCUUUCUCUCUCUGUUCUCCUUUCUUCCCCUCGCGCACGCUCUCCGAGGCGCUGCGCCCCCCGCUCCCUCCCUCCCUCCCUCCCUCCCUCCUCGCCGCUGCCUUCCCCGGCUCGCCCAGCCCUCUGCCUGGCUCCCGGCGGCUUCCCCCUCCCAGGUCUCGGCGCGGGCUGGGGACCACCCGAGGGCCGAGGGGGAAGGGGGUGCGGAUCUGGGGCUUGGGGCUGCGGCGAGCAAUUCAGAGCCGGGUCUUUUCCUCCUGCUCUGCUCAGUGCCUGCAAAAGCGGCAGGAAAACAUUUCCCUGGGAAUUGCUUUUGUUCCUUCCUCUGCGUCUGCGUGCACGAAGCUCUGCUCCGCGCUGGACGUGCCUCAACCUGUCCUUAGGCUCAGAUUAA